GCCAGACUCCUACGGGAGGCAGCAGUGAGGAAUAUUGGUCAAUGGGCUUACGCCUGAACCAGCCAAGUCGCGUGAGGGAAGACUGCCCUAUGGGUUGUAAACCUCUUUUGUCAGGGAGCAACGCCGGCUACGUGUAGCCGGACUGAGAGUACCUGAAGAAAAAGCAUCGGCUAACUCCGUGCCAGCAGCCGCGGUAAUACGGAGGAUGCGAGCGUUAUCCGGAUUUAUUGGGUUUAAAGGGUGCGUAGGCGGAAUGCCAAGUCAGCGGUAAAAUCGCGGGGCUCAACCUCGCUCCGCCGUUGAAACUGGCGGCCUCGAGUGGGCGAGAAGUAUGCGGAAUGCGUGGUGUAGCGGUGAAAUGCAUAGAUAUCACGCAGAACCCCGAUUGCGAAGGCAGCAUACCGGCGCCCUACUGACGCUGAGGCACGAAAGUGCGGGUAUCGAACAGGAUUAGAUACCCGUGUAGA
rnacentral:rRNA from 1 species